rnacentral:pre_miRNA from 1 species
UGGCUGUGUGGGUCUCUGGCAUGAUGAUUUGGGACAGAAAAUAAAAAAUCACAUUGCCAGGGAUUACUACACUGCU